rnacentral:rRNA from 1 species
UACAGAGGGUGCGAGCGUUAAUCGGAAUUACUGGGCGUAAAGCGUGCGUAGACGGUUAUUUAAGUCGGGUGUGAAAGCCCCGGGCUCAACCUGGGAAUUGCAUUCGAGACUGAAUAGCUAGGGUACGGUAGAGGGAAGUGGAAUUUCCGGUGUAGCGGUGAAAUGCGUAGAUAUCGGAAGGAACAUCAGUGGCGAAAGCGACUUCCUGGACCAGUACCGACGUUCAGGCACGAAAGCGUGGGGAGCAAACAAG